GUCACUAUAGCCAUACGGAUCCAGUCCAUAUCCAUUCCAGAUGGUGGAUCAGCACCUAGAGACGACCUCUACAGCCCUGAAUGUCAGCGGUGACCCAGAGACAGAUCCCCUAUGAGACCUCAUCACCUCGACGACCAUCAACACAAGGCCACAGGAACCAGAUAAGUCCCCUGCACAAUCUGACCUGUGUUGCAGCCUGGAAUUAAACCAUGCCAUGCUGGUUUCGUCUGGCCAGAGGAGAAAUGGCCCCCCAACUGAGUCUGGUUUCUCACACAUUUUUGUUUUUCUCCAUUCUGUCACUGAUGGAGUUUUGGUUCCUUGCCGCUGUCACCUUUGGCUUGCUUAGUUGGGGACGCUUGACCGAUUGAACAGAUACUAUUGGAAGAGAGCUGAACUGGAUGAUGACAUCACUGAAUCAUCAAUAAACUGACUUUAGCUGGAAAACUGACUCUUUGUUAAACAAUUUUCCUAUUUGACACUGUAAAGCUGCUUUAACGCAAUCAUAUUGUAUAAAGUAAAAAACUUUAACUAUCUUAAAAUAAAAAAAAAAGGGUUCUCACUUGAUAAUCAACAUAUCUUUUUCUUCUAAAGAACCCAUGUUGUAAUGGGUAAAUGUAAUAGAAUGCUGACAGAAGGAUUAAAAAGAGGAAGAUUCACUUCCACUAGGUGCCAAAAGUAUGCUCGGGUGUGAUGAAAUAAACCUCUUAACCCACCUGAUAUUUCAUGUAUUUCGUCGUAAAAGUAAAACCACAAGUUGGUGUCUGCAGUCACAGAGUAUAAUGGAAACAGGGGUAAAGAUCUUGUCACUCCUCCCCUACAUACCUACAACUCACCUCCCAUUUGCUAACUCAGAACAGAAAAGACCGAACCAGAGAACAGUAAUACAUACAUUGCUGCAGAGCCCAAGGCAGAAAGAAAAUUACAAUAAAAAUCCAAUAAUCAGACAAAUGGAUCCCAGCCAGUCUUUCAGUCACACCCGGCCAUAUCCAGGACAGUCCGUCGUCGGUGUGCAGCCUGCAGUUUUUGUGACCCCCAAUCCACCGGCCAGUCUAGUGCCAGAUCACUUAGCCUACUCUAUCUUUACCAUGCUGUGCUGCUGUUUACCUCUGGGCAUUGCUGCACUGGUUUUCUCCUGCUCUACUCGAGAUGCCAUCUACUCAGGACAGCAAGAAUUAGCAAAGAAGAACUCCAGAACAGCGCUCAUGCUGAAUCACAUCGGCCUUGGGAUUGGCAUUGUUAUUAUUGUAUUGGUUAUUAUCAACCAUAUGGCGAAAUAAAGAUAAAAGCUGUUAGAGCUGACAUGGCUGGAUGCAGAUUACAAACAGAUUUGUUUGUCUUUAUUUUAAAUGUUACUUGCUCAAUUUAUCAUUAUUCUCCUGCUUUAAGGCUGAUUAUUCUGUUUAAACCAAUGAAAGCUACCCUGUCUAAUUUUUUUUUUUUUUGUCUUCUUUACUUCUUAAAAUUGUUUUGUUUAGUACUUUUUGCUUAUGUUAAAUAUCUUGUGUGCAGCUGUGUCUUCGUUUUUUCAGUUUAUCAACCUAAUUUAAACAGUAAAUUUUUUUGUUCUCUUUACUUCUAAAAUGUUUUGUUUAGACUUUUUGCUUAUGUUAAAUAUCUUGUGUGCAGCUGUGCUCGUUUUUUCAGUGAUCAACCAAUUUAAACAGAAAUUAAAGUGUUAGUCAAAUACUCAAAUCAGAAAGCACAUACACAUUUUUUUUCUAAAUCAAUUAUAAAGGUCUUUCUCAAUUAAUUAAAUGUACUUAAAGUGCAUGUUUUACUCAGAAACAUCUAAGUAAAUAUAACAAUAAAUAUCAUAUAAACACCACAUUUAUAGAAUUAUUAAUGUGACACUCAUCCAAAAAGACUGCAGUACUUAGUAAACAACACACAAUGUUGGUAACAAUCUGUGGUUCAUUUUUUGAGAAUGUGUCAUUUUGAGUUGAACAUGAACUCUGCAAGUUACUAAACCUAACAAAAAAGCAAUGAACAAAACAGUAGUAAAUCAGACAAGAAAAACAAAGAAACUAAAAAAAAAAAAAAAAACUUUAAUUAAAUUAAUUACUGGGAACACCAGUAUCAGAAAAGUUGAGUAAGGUUUUACUUAAUCAUAAAAAGUAGUAUUACUUCACCACAGAAUCAUUUUUAUCAGUGUAGCAUGGACUGCUAGACAAAAAGUAAAACAAAGAAACAAAAAAACUUUCUAAACAAUUAGAUGUAGAUGUAAUUUUGAAAAAGUGACCUAUUUUGAGAGAUGUUUCCCAGCGAUUGCAAAUAAUAACCCCCCAAAAGACACACUUAGGAAUCAUGAAAUCAUCCCCAUCUGUGUCCUGAUAUUUCAUCAUGUUACAUGUUGGUUCCACCAGGUGGCGCCUAUUCAUUAUUUUUUUUUUUUUGUUCUCUUUACUUCUAAAAUGUUUUGUUUAGACUUUUUUGCUUAUGUUAAAUAUCUUGUGUGCAGCUGUGCUCGUUUUUUCAGUGAUCAACCAAUUUAAACAGAAAUUAAAGUGUUAGUCAAAUACUCAAAUCAGAAAGCACAUACACAUUUUUUUUCUAAAUCAAUUAUAAAGGUCUUUCUCAAUUAAUUAAAUGUACUUAAAGUGCAUGUUUUACUCAGAAACAUCUAAGUAAAUAUAACAAUAAAUAUCAUAUAAACACCACAUUUAUAGAAUUAUUAAUGUGACACUCAUCCAAAAAGACUGCAGUACUUAGUAAACAACACACAAUGUUGGUAACAAUCUGUGGUUCAUUUUUUGAGAAUGUGUCAUUUUGAGUUGAACAUGAACUCUGCAAGUUACUAAACCUAACAAAAAAGCAAUGACAAAACAGUGUAAAUCAGCAGAAAAACAGCAAAAAAAAAAAAAAAACUAAAACUUAAUUAAUUAUUAUAACCCCCCAAAAGACACACUUAGGAAUCAUGAAAUCAUCCCCAUCUGUGUCCUGAUAUUUCAUCAUGUUACAUGUUGGUUCCACCAGGUGGCGCCUAUUAGUCACCUUAAUUGUAAGGUGAUGCAAAUACAACAGAUUAAUCUUCACCUGAGUACACACCAGAGAUAGACACUGUUCAGUGGUGCAAGAAAACCACAUCGUGACCAAGAGAAACAUGGAUUCCAAAAAGUUCAGCAACAGGGCAGCCUUUGCUUCCACUGCAGCAGAACCCCCCUGAGUACUCCAAUGUUGGAUUCCCCUCCCUCUCACAGCUAUUCCAGCACUUCCCAGCAAUACAGAGCUCCGCUGGCAUCUGGCCUGUACACUCAAGCGUCAUAUCCGGGGCAGAUUGUGGUCACUGUUUAUCCUUUGGUCAUAGGCGGAGUUUCACUUUUAUGCGUGGGGGAGCACCCACUGGAAGACGAGCCACGAGCACUUUUUUAUAUGUUCAACAUUUCACAUAUUCUACAUUAAAAAUACAUUUAGAAUGAACAAUAACUGCUGAAAAAAUAAUAAAAUAAAAUUAACAAAAAGAAAAAAUAAUAAAAACCAAUAGACAAGAAAAGCCGACCUCUUUUUCCGAAUUGCAUAGAUGACCACUAUUUUUCUUCAUCUCUUCUGUACUUUCACUUUUAUGCGUGGGGGAGCACCCACUGGAAGACGAGCCACGAGCUACUUUUUUAUAUGUUCAACAUUUCACAUAUUCUACAUUAAAAUACAUUUAGAAUGAACAAUAACUGCUAGAAAAAAAUAAAUAAAAUAAAAUUAACAAAAGAAAAAAUAAUAAAACCAAUGCAGAAAAGCCGCCUCUUUUUCCGAAUUGCAUAGAUGACCACUAUUUUUCUUUCAUCUCUUCUGACAAUUUUUUUUUACCAAUGCCUUUUAUAUCUUGUGCUGACUGCAAAUUGUGGUUUAAGAUUAGAGGUCUGAUGUUUCAGAGAUGUGUUUGCAUGAGGUAUGUAGAGACCAUGUAACAUGCCAACAUCUGUCAGGCUUCAUUUUUUGCUUGGAUAUGGUUAAUCGUUCGAUUUAACCGGUUCUUGUUAGUGAACCGGUUGAACCAGUUCACCAAAUCGGACUGAAUUGUUUGAAACGGUUCGCGUCUCCAGUAAGCAUUAAUCCACAUGUUACUUAAAUGAUUCACUUUUUUUUAACGUGGCUGCAUGCAGACACCCAACUGUACAGAUUAAUUUAUAGAUUUAAAACCCAGUCCUGAACCUGGAAAACCAUGUUAUGCAGAGUUCAGUUCCAACACACUUGCUUGGACAUUGCUGCAGAUCCUGAAGACCUUGCUUAGCUUAGGCGUGUUUAUUUGGAAAGCCAAACUUUGCAGGACACUGGCCCUCCAGGAGCAGGACUGAGAGCCCUGACAUUAGCUCUUUUACAUUCAUUGCAGGUGAUUUAUCAACACCUAGUACAUCUUAAAAUAUACAGCUCAUGAAAAAUAAAAGUUCCAGAUGGACAAACAUUAAAUGCAUAAACCAGUGUGAAUAAACUAUACCUUAAAAUAAAUUUGGAGGUAGGUUUAAAAAGUCAGAAUGAGAAGUUUUAAGUAGUUGUACAGCUUGAAGUGUGAAGUUUAUUCUUGUACACAGAUAUGGCAUAUUCAUGGCAGUACACAUGAAAUUCAUGUAUUUAUUUGUCAUUUAAACUGAUGUAAACAGAAAAAGAGUAGA
rnacentral:lncRNA from 1 species